CUCGUACCUCAUUAGAAUCUCAUUCCCAGUCAGGAUCUGAAGAUGUAGGGCUUGGUACAGGUGCCUUCAUGCAAGCUGUUGCAUGCUGAGGAAGCGGGGUGCAGACCUGAAGCACAAAGCCAGCAAGGGUUGAGAUCCAGCAAGAAUGCCCAGCAUCAGUCAGAGCAGAACCAGCCCUUCAGUGUAGCUGAUCAAGGCUAAGAACAUGGAAAAGACAUUUGGGAAUGAAGUCUUCAACCAGUCGCAUUGCCUGGUUUUCUUCCCCCUCUAUCACAAGCUGUCUUCUUAUUGCUGCCUCUGUGAAGGGUGCUAAUGACCACUCUGCCCAUCUCUUUAUAUGAGCAGAGAGAUAGGAAGAUUCAGAUCUAUGUCUGAAAGAGCAAGCAGUCAGUACCUACCCAGAA